GCCUUCGUGGUGCAAUAGUGAGCACGUUUGAUGCGUAUUCGAAAGGUCCAGGUUCGAGUCCCGGCGAGGUCA
rnacentral:tRNA from 1 species